rnacentral:rRNA from 1 species
GACGAACGCUGGCGGCGUGCUUAACACAUGCAAGUCGAACGGUAAGGCCCCUUCGGGGGUACACGAGUGGCGAACGGGUGAGUAACACGUGAGCAACCUGCCCUUGCCUUUGGGAUACCAGCUGGAAACAGCUGCUAAUACCGGAUAUGACCUCUUCUCUCAUGGGUUGAGGUGGAAAGCUCCGGCGGUCAGGGAUGGGCUCGCGGCCUAUCAGCUUGUUGGUGAGGUAAUGGCUCACCAAGGCUUCGACGGGUAGCCGACCUGAGAGGGCGACCGGCCACACUGGGACUGAGAUACGGCCCAGACUCCUACGGGAGGCAGCAGUGGAGAAUAUUGCACAAUGGGCGCAAGCCUGAUGCAGCAACGCCGCGUGCGGGAUGACGGCCUUCGGGUUGUAAACCGCUUUCAGUAGGGACGAAGCUAACGUGACGGUACCUACAGAAGAAGGACCGGCUAACUACGUG